UAAGGUUUUAUCUUAAUUAAAGUGUCUGGGUUGCAUUCAGAAUAUGUAAGAUAGAGUCUUACAAAUCUUA
rnacentral:tRNA from 1 species